ensembl:lncRNA
GAGAAAUGACAUCGGGCCGGAUUCGAACUCGUGUCCUCCAUGGGCGUCAAGCCCGAAUGUGGUCGGGGCUACUGCUUGCGCCACAGUGCAAUUGGAUUUAUUUUUAUUAUUCAGGAAAUACACCAAGAUAGUGACACAACUGGCUAACAUUUUAUGACAUUCAUUUUUUAUUGUUUUAUUAUUUUCUUACAUUCUUGGCCAAUUACUAAAUUGUGUUGCUUUAUGUUUUGUUACAGGAAUUCAAGUCGUCAUGCUAUUGGAUUUUGCAACAUUACUACUAGCUCAUUAUAUUAUCAAUUAGUUCCAAAAAUAUGUUAGCUCAGAAUCAAAUUAUAUUUUCAGAUUACGUACCAGUUCCUGUAAAUAUCCUGUAUCAGAUUAAUUCUGUUUUAUGUCUUAACUGACAGCGUAUGGCGUGUCUUGUUACAUGUCUCCCUUUAAGUGUGUAGGCCUUACAGAGGUUACCUUUUCGGACGAAGGGCAUUAAAUAUGGAGGAUUACAGAUGAUCUUGGCACCGCUGGUGAAGCAAGACCAGACCCAUAGGACCAAACACUAACAUGCAUGACCGUAACAGGACGCACAUGAGAAUCACGGCAGGAACCAAGCAGGCUUACCCAAGGCCCACAAAGACAUCAGAUGCUUCCAUACCAAGAGACCAGGAAGGACCAUAGAGGGUGAAGGAGCAAUGAAGGCUGAGGUCCAGGAUUAAACAUGACCAGGUAUCGACCGUAGCAACCACAUGAAACUCAAUAAUGGGCGAACCCAGACUAACCAGCCCGAGACACCUUGGCGACGCCUCAGAAUGAGCCCGAGUGAUUCUGGUCUGAGGUCCAGAACUCAGAACACACAGAGCAGGUCUGUGGGCAGCUGUAGGAAGCUGAUUGUCACUGGAGCCUCAGGCUAGAGUGGGACGUCCACUAAACCAGCUUUUUCAG